UGGCUCAGUGGUAGAGUGCUUGCCUUGCAUGCAUGAGGCCCUGGGUUCAAUUUCUCAG
rfam:Dipodomys ordii contig_39204, whole genome shotgun sequence.